AUUGAACGCUGGCGGCAGGCCUAACACAUGCAAGUCGAGCGGUAGAGAGGAGCUUGCUUCUCUUGAGAGCGGCGGACGGGUGAGUAAUGCCUAGGAAUCUACCUGGUAGUGGGGGAUAACGUUCGGAAACGGACGCUAAUACCGCAUACGUCCUACGGGAGAAAGUGGGGGAUCUUAGGACCUCACGCUAUCAGAUGAGCCUAGGUCGGAUUAGCUAGUUGGUGAGGUAAAGGCUCACCAAGGCGACGAUCCGUAACUGGUCUGAGAGGAUGAUCAGUCACACUGGAACUGAGACACGGUCCAGACUCCUACGGGAGGCAGCAGUGGGGAAUAUUGGACAAUGGGCGCAAGCCUGAUCCAGCCAUGCCGCGUGUGUGAAGAAGGUCUUCGGAUUGUAAAGCACUUUAAGUUGGGAGGAAGGUCAGUAGCUUAAUACGUUGCUGAUUUGACGUUACCGACAGAAUAAGCACCGGCUAACUCUGUGCCAGCCGCCGCAGUAAGAC
rnacentral:rRNA from 1 species